rnacentral:rRNA from 1 species
GACGAACGCUGGCGGCGUGCUUAACACAUGCAAGUCGAACGGAAAGGCCCUGCUUUUGUGGGGUGCUCGAGUGGCGAACGGGGGAGUAACACGUGAGUAACCUGCCCUUGACUUUGGGAUAACUUCAGGAAACUGGGGCUAAUACCGGAUAGGAGCUCCUCCUGCAGGGUGGGGGUUGGAAAUUUUCGGCGGUUGGGGUUGGACUCGCGGCUUAUCAGCUUGUUGGUGGGGUAGGGGCUUACCAAGGCUUUGACGGGUAGCCGGCCUGAGAGGGUGACCGGCCACAUUGGGCCUGAGAUACGGCCCAGACUCCUACGGGAGGCAGCAGUGGGGAAUAUUGCACAAUGGGCGGAAGCCUGAUGCAGCAACGCCGCGUGCGGGAUGACGGCCUUCGGGUUGUAAACCGCUUUCGCCUGUGACGAAGCGUGAGUGACGGUAAUGGGUAAAGAAGCACCGGCUAACUACGUG